CUUCAUGGCUGUUGCAAGACCCUGUAGAAUUCCUUGCCCUUUGCUGCAGUGACUGUGGAAGUAGAUGUAGACUUGACAGGUCUGUCAGCCUGGGUCCUGUAAGACGAUAAGGCAGCUGAGACCCCUGUUCUGAUGGAUGCACAGCCGGAGAAAGAAAUGUUUGUUGAUAUAAGCCACAGGUGGAGAAAGAAAUGUUUGUUGAUGUAAGCCACUGAAGUCGGGGAUCAUUGUCACUGCAACAUGACUCAUCCUGUCCUGACUAACACGGGUCCCUGCUUUGGGGCCAGCUCUAAGAAGGUGAUCCCCAGGUCAAGGACUGCACAGUUGUUCAGAACCACAGCUCCUAAACACGUAUUUCCUGGUCAGAUGGAAACUCCCCAAACCUCCAAGGUAGAAGAGGGAUCCCUCAGCCUUGAACCAUUUGCUGGGCGGGUCCUGGCAUUGCUUUCUUUUGCUAGCCAUGACAUUGCUCCAGGGGUUACAAGUCACUGCUCAGCUCAGGAAAUAAAAAUCAGACAGAAUGUCCAGUAUCAUGGAGACAGAAGGUGAUCCGUCAGCUGAACUUGGUUUUUUCAAUUACUUUUUAGGUCAUCAGAUGUCAGAGCACUGUGGCUUUGGGAGACAGCCUGGAACAUUAUCCAGGGUGGCACAAGGGGUGAAGUGAACUUUGAGAGACAAAAACUCAUACCUGAGGCUUGAGUCUGAGAGGCUGGAUCACGCUGCACACCCUCCUGCCAGGCACAUCUGGAAGUGGUUCAGAAAUGGCACAGAACAGCAAGAGAGAUGCAUCCCCAACGACCGUCCUCUGUGCUGGAGCUGCCAGCCAUGGAGGACAUGCUAACAAGAGGGAGGGGGUUACCACCAGGCCAGGACCUGGUACAGCCGCUAAAAAUUCUUCAGAAGAGACUAGAGCUGUACUCUGCUUGAUUGCACCUGGUUUCUUGACCUACCUAAGCCCAGACUCCUGUAGUCUUCCCCUUAAAUACCUCUGCUUGCCAAACAGGCAAUGCUGGUCCUGAGACAGAAAUUCCUACUUACCAAGGAAUCCUAGAGUAGAAAAAUAAAAUAAAAUAAAAUUGGGAGCUAAGCUAUUUGGACGCAAAAGCAUAGGAAUGCUAUAAUGGACUGAGCGCGGUGGCUCACGCCUGUAAUCCCAACACUUUGGGAGGCUGAGGCGGGCGGAUCACAAGGUCAGGAGUUCGAGACCAGCCUGGCCAACAUGAUGAAACCCCAUCUCUACUAAAAAUACAAAAAUUAGCCAGGUGGCGCAUGCCUGUAACCCCAUCUACUCAGGAGGCUGAGGCUUGAACCCAGGAGGCUGAGGCUGACGUGAGCUGAGAUCUCGCCACUGCACUCCAGCCUGGGUGACAGAGAAAAAAAAAAAAAGGAUGAC
rnacentral:lncRNA from 10 species